rnacentral:rRNA from 1 species
UACGUAGGGACCAAGCGUUGUUCGGAUUUACUGGGCGUGAAGGGCGCGUAGGCGGUGCGGUAAGUCACUUGUGAAAUCUCUGAGCUUAACUCAGAACGGCCAAGUGAUACUGCAGUGCUAGAGUGCGGAAGGGGCAAUCGGAAUUCUUGGUGUAGCGGUGAAAUGCGUAGAUAUCAAGAGGAACACCUGAGGUGAAGACGGGUUGCUGGGCCGACACUGACGCUGGAGCGCGAAAGCCAGGGGAGCAAACGGG